GGAAAGACCUUCUACCCAUUACUGCACUUAAUUCUGGGCAGCACUGUAGGACUGGACAUUUGGCUGAAGUCACAAAACAGACACAAACAGAAUGAAGCCAGUGGUGACGACUGAGAAGCUGACCCGCCUCUGGCAUUUGUCCGUAUCCACACUAGAGAUGGAACUCCCAGGUGACUUUUGGGCCUGCCAGUUUCCCAUGCACAGGGCCACUGAAUCCGGCUGAGAGAAGAGAGCGAGAUUGAGACCAAAGUGAAGGUAUCCAUUCUCAUUACUUGAAUUCAACAUACUACCGAAGGCUCCAGCCACUGUAGCAAGAUGGUUAAGGAAAAGAGUGGCCAAGCCUGAGCUGAAAACAGGCCUGAACUCACACUGGAAGCUGCCCUCCACAGUACCCUUGAUCACAUUUAUCACUCGUUGUCUCCUGCAUUCUUCAACCCACAUGCCAAAGGACAGAAGGAGACCCCGAUAGACGCCUUCUUGGAAUCCUGUUUGCCAUGUAUCCCUGAUUUGCCAGCUGGACAACAAAGGAAAUCAGGCUUGUUGGCAUAGCUCCUUAUUCUUUGUAAACCUCUGGUGACUUGAGUGAUCACUGUCUCCUUUCUAAGCACUUGCACAGCAUCCUUGGAUUCUUGCCUAAGUUCUGCAGCAGGAUUUCAUGUCUGUAGUCAAACUGGACACUCACUUCCCACGUUCCUGCUCUUGGUGUCAUCUUUCUAGUCUCCUCCCCUGUCUACAGGCAGUCAUGAUGACCCACAGUGGAGCAGUGGUCCUGGCCACCCAUUCGUUCAACAAGUGUAGACAGUUUAUCUAUUUGGGUAUAUAAUUUAUUUUGGCCAAGAGGCUCAAACUACUAUUGAGAAAAGUUAGAAGCAAAUCACAUUUUUCUUAUGGUCUUGUUGGGCUUAAAUUUCCUCUUAACAAUAUUUGUUUUGCCCGUUCUGUCCAAAAUGAUUUAGUUUGAUGGGGAAGACUGAAUUAACAUAAAAAUUGAGUUUUGGUUUCUGUUUAUCAUUCAUCAGCCUUUCCCUCACUGACCUCUGGCAGGAGAUCUAUCUUUUCAGUUCCCUUUGAUUCUAUGAGGACAGCGUAUGAUAGUUUAAGUGGGUAAGAACAUGGCUUUGAAGUGUGCACCUGGACUAGAUGACCGCUGCCCUGGAGCGGGGGACCAGGCUUUUCCAGGUUUCUAUCUUCUGCCCUAAAAAGUGUGGCUUAUGAUGCUGUCCCAUCAAGUCACUAUAUAAAUUAGAAGAAAUUAGAAGUCUGUCUCUCAUAGGCACUCUCUAAGUGCCAAUUCAUAAGCUGUUUUUUUAUUCAGGUAUUUGUUUAAGUUUACAAGUUUUGUUCCCUUGGUGUUUUCACAUCUUUAACAUGAAUAUUGCAUGCUAUGUCACUCUGUUGCAUGGAUCCUUGCUCACAUCUCAUCUUUCCAUUUGUGGGCAUGCUUUUCCUUAAAUGCAAAGGAUCAAUUAAGACAACAUGAAUACAUAGCAUAGUGUUUAGUUAAAAAAAAAAGUCAGAUACAAAAUAACAAAUUUGUGGGAUUUCAUUUAUAGAAUGUCCAUAAGCAAGCAAAAUGAAGUGUAAUAUUUAGAUGCAUACUUAUGUAUGAGAAUUAUUCAUACCAGCAGGUGAGUGACCCUCACCACUCACAAGUAAGGUCCUUCAGAGGAGAGGGAGGGUGGAGGCCUGGCAGUUUACAGGGGCCUGGGAGUGGUUAGACUCAGGCGGUGAACAUGGUGUGAUGAUGUUAUGGUGACUCAGUAUGCCAUCUAUCCAUAUUGUAUGGAUGUUUGUUUAUUCGUCUUGUGCUUCAAAAUAAUUUGCUUUAAAAAAGGUUACAUAAAGCUAAUUUAAAUAUAUAUAACAUGUGAAGAUGGGAGGAAUAAGCAUAUUUUAUUACAAACUUAGAAAAUGCUCAUUAAGCUCGAUUAGAUUUUACUGUUAUUUUAAAGUAAGAAGGACCAAACAAAUGAUGAGUAUCUUUGCUCUGCCUUGAAGUAAUCUUUAUCAUUGAAGCUGAGGGCUUCUCUUGUGACUUCCGUCUUCAAGCUGGCAAUUCCUGUCUGAUUUCAACGCAGGUGUGCCCCGGUGUCAGGUUGGGGUGUAUUCCUGGAGGCUUCGUAGAUGCUAUGCUGGGGAAACUCCUGUGCCCCCACCACUGUUUUGUGUGUCUUCUCCACUCCACCUCAGGCAGCUCCAGCCCUCCACCCUCCCCUACAAGGCAGCCUCUCAGUCUAGUAAAGCAGUGUUGGGUCGGACGCAAUUGUGGACCAGAAAAAUAAUCCAAUGCACUGCUUUAAACCUGUGACUUUUUUUCCCCAUUCCUCUCAUCUUUGGACUUAAUUUCAUAGGUGAAUAAAAUCCCAUAGAACCCAAUGCAUGUCUACAAUAACGAAGGAAAUGAGUAUGAAUAUUUUUCAAAUAGCACAUUGUAAAGAAUGUACCAGCCAUCCAGCAAAACAAAUUUCUUUUGCAUGUACAGUACAGCUAUGUGCUCAAAGCUUGGAGAAAUACGCUUCCGGUCCUGACAGGAUGCAGUGAACACAUUUAUCUUUGUUCUCCCCCACUAAGUUCACCUAUAAACUGCGGAAGUAACCAAAGGAAAACAGUGGAAGGUAGUAAAAGAAAGGUGAAUCGGCUUGGGAAAAAAGUGGCAGCAGGAUGUCUACAGCUCCUUUAUCAACAGAAGGCAGCCCAGACCCUGGGCUUUACAGCAAACGGCAGCCCACAUGGGCCCAUUCCUCCCUGGAAUGGGAGGGGCUCUCUCACAGCACCACUAACAAGGGUUUCCUUGACCGGCCAGGGAGUGCAGCUCCUUCAUUCCCUCUCCACCCAGAAAUACCGAUAGGAGGAUUUCAUUACAACAAGCCCCGGGCCAGGAAAGCCUCUUCGUUCCGACAAGCCUGAGACUCCCUGCCCCAUGAGGACACACUGGAGUGGGCUGGCAUGACCAACCCGAGGGUCCCGGCCACAGCCAGCAGGCUCUGUGUCUCACAACCCGAGACUCGCCUCCCCUAAUCAAGAGGCACCAGCAGACCCACACAAAUAAGUUGAACUGAGUUUCUAAUAGUCUUAAUUUUUCACAGCAGUUUCAGGUUCACAGGAGAAUUGAGAUGAAGGCACAGAGUUCCCAUAUAUGCCCUGUCUCCUGGCAUGCACAGCCUUCUCCACUAUCAGCCUCACCCACCAGAGUGGAGCAUCUGUUACAAUUGAGGGACCUCCACUGACACAUCAUCAUCACCCGGAGUCCAUUGUUUACAUUAGGGUUCCCUCUCGGUGUUGUAUAUUGGACAAAUGUAUGAUGAUAUAGAUCUGUCAUUACAGUGUCAUAUAGAGUAGUUUUGUUUUAAAAUCCCCUGUGCUUCACCUAUUUAUUCCUCCCUUCCCCCUAACCCCUGGCAACUGCUGAUUUUUUUGCUAGCUCCAGUUUUAACUUUUGCAGAAUGUCGUAUAGCUGGCAUCAUACAGUAUGUAGACUUUCAAGAUUGUCUUAUUUCACUUAGUGUUCCGCAUUUAAGUUUCCUCCGUCUUUUCAUGGCUUGAUAGCUCAUUUCUUUUUAACAUGGAAUGGUAUUUUAUUGUUUGUACCACAGCUUAUGCAUCCAUCCACCUACUGAAGGACAUCUUGGUUGUUUCCAGGUUUGGCAAUUAUGAAUAAACUGUUAUAAACAUCCAUGUGAGGAUUUUUGUGUUAACGUAUUUUUUAACUCCUUUGGGUGAAUAUCAAAGGGUUAGUCCUCGUUUAUUGUUAUUUUUUUUAUUUUUGAGACGGAGUCUCACUCUGUCACCCAGGCUGGAGUGCAGUGGCGUGAUCUUGGCUCGUUGCAGCCUCCACCUCCCAGGUUUAAGCGAUUCUCGUGACUCAGCCUCCCGAGUAGCUGAGAUUACAUGCGCCCACCACCAUGCCUGGCUAAUUUUUGUAUUUUUAGUAGAGACAGGGUUUUGCCGUGUUGGCUAGGCUGAUCUUGAACUCCCAACCUCAGGUGAUCCACCCACCUCAGCCUCCCAAAAUGCUGGGAUUACAGGCAUGAGCCACCACACCUGGCCUAUUCCUGGUUUAUGUGGUAAGAAUAUAUUUAGUUUUGUCUGAAACCGCCGCUCUGUCUUCCACAGUGGCCAUACCAUUUUGAAUUCCUGCCAGAAAUGAAUGAGAGUUCCUGUUGCUCCACAUCCUCACCAGCGUUUGGUGCUGCCAGUGUUCUGACUUUGGGCAUUCUAAUAGGUGCUGUGAUUCUGGAGAGGCAUUUGUCCACUCAGCAUGUAAGGGAGAAGCCAUGCUUUCCUCAGCUGUGCCUGCACUGUAACGGCCCUGUGUCUGUCACUACUGCUGGGGGCACCUGGAAGCGCCCAGACACACAUUUGGGGACCACAGCAAAUCCUCUGUGUCUUGCAUAGCAUCAAGCCAGCUUCUUCCUCACCAGCCUCACCAUCCGAGUUUCUCGUGGGCAGCUUCUCAGUGAACACAGGAAGGCCUAGACCCCACUCUGGGAGCUCUGAGGACCACGGUGUGCACAGGCAGAAGCUUGAUUGUAAAGAGUGUUAACUCUUCAAGGAAAAAAAAUUAAAAAUAUUUUUUAAAGAAAAUGAAGGCCCAGAUGGAAGAGGCCCCCACCUGUAACGCCAAGGUGAGCUCAUCCCCAGGUACCACAAUGACCUGAGGUGCUUGUAAAAGAUGCCGCUCUCUUGGUGCUUGGCUAGGAGCAAGCUAUGGCAUGGAGAACAGGGAUAGACCCACCUGAAAAUCUGGACCUGCUUCUUCGUGGAUGAAGGAAUGUGCACCCAGGAGGCCAGGACCCCUGGUCACCUGCAUGAAAGGUUUGAGGUGGUGCCGCACAUUCCAGAAGGUGAUGUGGUCUCAGAUGAUGCCCAUGGGCACUGUCAGGGUGGGUCCAGGACUGCAGCUGCCUGGGCUGUUUAUUCUGCAGGCAGACAUGCCCUGGGGGCCAGUCUGAAGAGCAGCUCAGAGAAGGUGAUCAAGCUCCAUUUUCAAAAACAAAACAAAAAAGUGAAGACAGACUAACACCCAGUAAACGUGAUGUGAUCAGGGCUGCCACUUCCAGAGCACCCUGAGAGUCAAGACCAAAGAUCACCAGCAGCCUCUGAUUUGAACUUCAGAUUGGAUCUGGAGGCUAAGCAUUCUCAGCCUGCUCUAAAGCUGGACAGGCUUCCUGACACCAGAGCUGGCUGCUGGACCUGAGGAUGCACCACAGGAGGCUGAGCCUCCUCCCACAGCGGGGAGAUGGUGCCCAGGUGAAAGACACGUGUCCUGAGAGAAACCCCUCGGCCCAUCACUCAUCACAGAGGGGCCGGGGAACAGCUCCUACUUUUCUCUCAAGCAGUGAUAACAUGUGAUUUCCCAGGUCAAUCUUGAUUUCAGAAAUGUUAAAAAUAAAUGGGCCUGGAAGACUUGUAAUUUGAGAAUAAGACUUGAAAACAAGUGAAAAGCAGUGAGAACAGAUUUUGGUGCCUCCUAGACUUUUCUCAUUGGCUGCGCACAUUUAGCCUUGAAAGCAUAGCAGUCCUACACCCAUCCAAAAUGAAGGAAACUGUUCUGGAAACAUUUUUACCUUGGUUUCUCCUAAAGCAAGUUGGAUCUCUGUGAUGCUAUCUUGCAUGCUGCUGAAGUCAUUUUCCAGUGGUGUAAUUUUCCUGUUAACUUAAAAAGAGAAGCUCAGCAUUACAUGUCCCUCUGGGCUUCAGACAUCUGUUCCUUCCUCCCAUGUCCAGAAAUAUUAGACAAUUUCUCUCCAGCAUCAAGAGAAACAAAGUGAUGGGAGCUUAUUUCAAUUUUGAGAGAAUCUGAGUUUGUAGGACUAACACAAUGAUCAAUACCAGUUUGACAGUGGAAGGGUGUUAACAUUUAUUUCUUUUUUUUUUUUUAAGGAUUUUAUGAAUCUUUUGUCUCUCAUUUCUUAAGAAUUCUAACUACACUGCUUGAUAUCAUACAAUAAUAAUUUUUCUGAAAACUGAGAACAGAGAUUCUGUUUAGUUAAAACUUCCAAAUCAGUUGUAAAUGUGGGUAUAGUCUGAAUCAUAAUCAAUGCAAUUCAAAGACAGAAGAGAAGGAUGUCAGAGGAUACAGUGGGCAACAGGGAAGACUUCAGGAGACUUCAGGUGGAUCUCCGUAUUUCAUGAACAAAUCCCAGAUUUCCAAGAAAUAGGAAGACGAUUGUCCUGAGGUUUACAGAUCUCUUCCUCCCCCACCUCUCUCUCCUUUUUAAAAAGUAGUUGAAAAAGACUUGAGGUGACUCUAAAUACUUUUAUUUGUUAGCUUACAGUUGUAAAGAAGUUGAACAGCAUUUGUUAAGGUGGCGGGGACUGUACAGGAAGGGAGGGUGUGCAGAAGGACGGUGAUCAUGGGCAGCAGCACCAAGCUCCAGAGGAAAAGAAACAGGCAGAACUGCUUAAAAUCCCUACAAGGAAAAAAAUCAUGCAUAUCUCAGGGUACACAGGACAAGCAUUGUCAUUAGCUCAUUCCGCAACAAAUGUCACUUCUUGUGUGAUUCCAUUUCCAUUGCUCCAUUUUUGUUCAAAGUUGAAAAAAUCUGGUGUCCCUAAGCACGAAAUGGAGUAGGCUUGCAACUCUGUGGAUCUUAUGAUAAUGACACUGGUCCUUCUCCUUCCUUUGACUGUAAAGAACACUGACACAUUAUUAGGAUUUUAUUGGUACCUGUGAGCCUGACGGGACAGCAAAGACAGGGAAGGAGUUCCUGACACACAAGAUAUCACACACACAUGCUCACCGGAAAUUCUUUAAAAGGGGCUUUGAUUUAAACAUUACAAUUGCGAUUUAAAGUGCAAUAACACAGGAAUAUUUUUCUAAGAGACUCAGUUAAGUGUAUGCUAAAUUAAUUGGAUAAAAUAUAAAAUUCUGAGUGCAGGUAUUUAUUUAAAAUUCCCAGUGCUAAAAGUUUUGGGGUGAUAUUGCGAAGACACAGUGAAACAUGGUGUAAUUUCUCUCAGUAAAGGAAUUUGGGUUCCAACCAAAGGAGACAGGAAUGCAUGCAGGCAGUGAUUAGACACUGGGAGGAGAGGCAGCACUCAGUGUGGUCGGAGGCGAAGUGGAGGCAGGCUCAGGGCUGCAAAUGGGACUGCUGGUAUUCUAGAGACAGCUGCUUACUUUCUAGUUCAGCUGUCUAAAAACCUGUCCUGGGCCUGGAAGCAGGGUGCAUCUGGAGUAAAGGCUGCUUUAGAGUUUAGCUCCCACAGCAAGGUGGCAUCAUUGUAGAUCUUGACACAGGUAGCUCCUGGGGCCACUUUUAAGUUCCCUUCUGAUGUGUUGUCCUUUUUGGGACAGGUGAAUAGAGCAAUCAGAAUUGCUGCAAAUGAAGACAUUGCCCCUGAGUUGAAUGAGAGAUCUAUUCACUUCAAUCACUGUCAUUUUCCUUAAUAAUGAAGACACUAAGUUAUGACAAAUGUCUCCAUUACCUACAUCUAUGGGAAAUUAACUGAUAGAGCUUGGUACAAUAAACAGAAAAUUGAUGAGAAAAAAUUGGGGAGAAAAUUUAACAGCCAGGCCCAAAACUGAAGAAAUAUCUCCCACAGACUGUGGUUCUGUUCUGUGCAAAUAUUGUAGACUUUUACAUAUUUUGGUUGAUAAAAUAUGCUGAAUGAGACGCCCUCACAUUUGGGUAAACCAACUACAUUAUACAAAUAAAGUUUUGGAAGUAUCUUUGUGCACUGUGACUAAUAAUAGGAAAAGAAAAAUGGGGGUUGAAAAGAAAUACUCUGAUUUGCCUUGAGAGUUUUUUUGGUGCUUGAAAUAUUUCCUCGAUAUUCUUCAUAAGAUGUUAGAAAAUCUCUAUGUCCAAUUUAAUUAUAUCUUGGUCUUCUUUUUUGGUUCUUGUGAGGAUCUGGGUUUGGAGACCAAAGCACUCCAGGAAGGCAAGCGUGUGAAUGCUUGUGAGCUCACUGUCUUCUUGCUAUCUAUUCCCCAACCUGUUUUAUUAACCAUCAGAUUACAGAAACAGGAAAGCCAAAAAUUCUCCAAGGGGACUCCACUUCCAAUUCCAGUUCUUACUCGUUCUUCGUAGAAUAGGCCUUUGCGGCCUCUUUCCUGACCAGCGUCCUCACCUGGUGCUCAGAACCUCAUGUUGUCCAAAGUAGGACCCUUGACAACAUUUCAAAGACCCGAGUGACUCUGGCUGUUUCUCUGAAAAGCAAUAAUAGAAGCCUUCCAGAAAAUGGCCUUUAAUAACUUGGCAUAAACUCAACUCAAAUAGGGACCUCUCUACCUCUUCACCAGGCUCAAUACUGUUAGGGAAACUUAGCUAGUUCUGAUCCAAAAAAGGAGAUUGCUGAGGACAGUCCCCUUCAGCUGAGCACUUAAAACCCUGCCGUCCAGAGCCGUCCACCAAAAGGCAAAAUGACUGCUCCUCCCUCAACUUCUUCCUUUAGGAUAUUGUGUAUUUUUCUAUCCUUGGUUCUUUCUGGAAUAACCCUGACAAGGUGUUCCACAUUUCAACUAUAAAUUUCAUUUUGGUAUUAUAGACUGAAACUGUUUUUAUUUUAACUGAAAAGUUUAGUGAACUAAUUACAGAUUUUAGCCAUUCUGAUAGGUGACACAUCACUAUGAUUUUCAUUUUCAUUUCUCUGAGAGCUAAUGAGGCUACAUCUUUUUAGAUGUGCUUUUUUUAACCACCUAUAAAUCUGCUUUAGGUAUAUGUGUGUUCAUGUCUUUUACCCAUUGUCUAACUGGAUUGUUUGACUUUUUACCAUUGAGUUUUAAGAAUUUGUUAAAUAUUCUGGAUACUUUUUAUUUGUUGGCUAUGUGCAAAUAUUUUCUCCCAGUCUGUAGCUUAUCAUUUUAUUCCUUUCACAAGGGUUUUUAUAAACAAAAGCUUUAAAUUUUGAUGUGGUCCUACUUAUUAAAUUUUUUUGUUAUGGAUUACGUUGAUUUUCUACCUAGUAGUUUAUCAGUUGCUAAGUGAGGUUUUGAAGUCUCCAACUAGAGUUGUGGAUUUAUCAAUUUCUCCUGUCAGCUCCACAGUUUUUGCUUUACAAGUCUUAAAGUUUU
rnacentral:lncRNA from 1 species